rnacentral:rRNA from 1 species
UGGGGAAUUUUGGACAAUGGGCGAAAGCCUGAUCCAGCAAUGCCGCGUGUGUGAAGAAGGCCUUCGGGUUGUAAAGCACUUUUGUCCGGAAAGAAAUCCUUGGCUCUAAUACAGUCGGGGGAUGACGGUACCGGAAGAAUAAGCACCGGCUAACUACGUGCCAGCAGCCGCGGUAAUACGUAGGGUGCAAGCGUUAAUCGGAAUUACUGGGCGUAAAGCGUGCGCAGGCGGUUUGCUAAGACCGACGUGAAAUCCCCGGGCUCAACCUGGGAACUGCAUUGGUGACUGGCAGGCUAGAGUAUGGCAGAGGGGGGUAGAAUUCCACGUGUAGCAGUGAAAUGCGUAGAGAUGUGGAGGAAUACCGAUGGCGAAGGCAGCCCCCUGGGCCAAUACUGACGCUCAUGCACGAAAGCGUGGGGAGCAAAACAGGAUUAGAUACCCUGGUAGUCCACGCCCUAAACGAUGUCAACUAGUUGUUGGGGAUUCAUUUCCUUAGUAACGUAGCUAACGCGUGAAGUUGACCGCCUGGGGAGUACGGUCGCAAGAUUAAAACUUAAAGGAAUUGACGGGGUCAUAGCUGUUUCCU